AACAAAGCUCACAAGAACUCACAGAUGCCACAGCAAAAAGGACAAGGCAUGCAGGAAUCCGCACCAUGUACUCUGUAUAUUUUAUUUUAAUAUUUUUGUGGGACUCUUGAACAUGAGAUUCGGGAGCCUCCAAUUCUUGUGCUUUCUCUUGAGUCUCUUUUCCUUCUGUUGGUUUGCCUUGUCCAAUUUCAAUGAGAUCGAUCUUCUCUUAUAGUAUUUCCAUUUUACUAUAAAACACAAAAUCUAGAGAACUUCCCCCGACAAGCAGAAUGACUAAGUAGAGGCACAGUAUGGUGGAGCACUGUAAAUGGGGUGAGAAUAAAAGCAGGGAAGAAAAUAAAUAGUGAAAAGGAUGGAUGGAAUUAAUUUAAAUAAGGCUUUGAGCAAAUCCUCUUUUGAGGGGUUAUAGUAUAGCCAUGAAAAUAUCUGGAGGCAAGGAUUUCAGACAAAAAGCAGAGUUUAGUGCUCAGGUGAAUUUUAGAAGCGUGAUGAUAAGAGGGACAGGGAAGGUUAAAGAGCAAAUGAAGGACAAAGCCUUGUUGGACCUUGCUGUCCACUCUCAGCUGCUUGAAUGAGAUAGUAGCCACUGAAGACCUCGACAAGUGUAAUGAGAUUUGACUUCUAUUUUAAUGGGACCAUCUGAUUUCUCUGUGGAGUCUUCUCUUUCUAAAAAAGGACAGUGAAGGCAUAAAAAGGAGUCAAAAGGCUUUUUACUAUAUCCAAGUGAGUUUAACAGUAGUCUUUGUCAUGAUGAUAGCAAGGGGAACAGUGAAAAAUGUUCAACAAUAACGUGUAUUUUAUUUAUUUUUAAAAUUCAUUAAUUAAUUUCAAUUUACAUCUGCGCAUGUGCUUGAGUGUUUAUGCAUCAUGUGCACACAGGAGCCCACACAGGUUAGAGUAGAUGUUGGAUAUGUCACAACAGAAAGAUUUGAGCUUUCAUGGGGUGCUGGGAAUUGAACCCAUGUCUUCCCCAGGAUCUGCAAGUGUCCUUAACAGCUGAGACAUGUCUCCAACUGUUAAUGCUAAGAGUACAAGUGUGUGUGUGCGUGUCAGUGUUAAAGAUAAAACAGUGAGGGCCCAAGCUGUGGACAUGAGCAACUAGAAACUUCUAUUGGCAUUGAUACUAAAGGGAUGAAGUCAUGGAAAAGCUAGGAUAAGGUUAUGGAUGGGGCCAAUUUUAGAGAGAAUAUGUGACUCAUCAUGGUCACUGUUGUUACUUUCCUAAAAGCAAAGUGAAAGUGUACCUGAGUCUACAAUUCGGAAAACAAAAUGUAAUAUAUUAAAAUGUUAAUAAGCACAGCUUAUUAACGGUCUAAGGCAGUGACGAAAGUACAGAGAGUAGGAGAAAUGAAUGAGCUGCUUCUCCUUAGGGCAGUCUGCUCUAUUCUUUCCCGUAAUUACAAUUCUGAUGAUAUCUGGACAACAGGGGUUUCUUUGGCAUAAAGCUAUAGCAUCUUCCGCCUAGAGAGAACACACUUAUUUUAGGAGUCAAUUGUGUAGGCAGCACAAUUAAUUAUCUGCAAUGAAAAAAAAAAAAAGAGUCCAGUUGACUAAUGGCCUUACCUUCACAGAGAGAAAGGUGAGAGAUUAAAUGGUCAGGAGUAAAUAUUUUUCUCAGAAAAUAAUGUUGAGGCAAACAAAGGCCCUGGAAGUAUUUACCAUGGAACAUGGUUGUAGUAAUGUCAGCCUCAUAAAUUUUCAAUCAAAUUUACCAGACAUUCAUCAAAAAUUUUUUCAGUGAUACACAUGAUUCUUUUAAUUUUAAUGUAAUAUCAAAUCUUGAUUAAAUUCUUUAGGAAUAAAUGGCAAAAGGUGCAUCAGUGCAUAGUUAAGUGAGGUCCCUGUAGAUUUCAUGACUGCAUGCCAAUUGAAUACUGAAAGGCACCUCCUACG
rnacentral:lncRNA from 1 species